UGGAGGUUGCAGUGAGCCAAGAUUGCACCAUUGCAUUCCAGCCUGGACUACAGAGCAAGACUCUGUCUCAAAAUACAUAAAUAAAAUAAAUAAAAACAAAAAUAAACAAGACUCUAUAUUUGCUCUCAAAUAGUUCACAAUCUCACAUGGGAGAGAGUGACCUCCAGGUUAGUGUGACGAAUGCACAAAUUCAGGUGUGCCUUUCUGUGUACACCCAGCGUCACAGAAAGAAGCACAACCAAUGGCUGAGGGUUGGGGCAAUAGGAUAUUUGUGUUUAGAACUCCUCUCAAAUAUUCCCCACAAAGUGAAAACCUCUCUUUUAACUUCCCCUUUCCCUCAAAUUUCUCUUUUCACAUACCGAUGUAUGGCUGGAAUUCAAAGGAAAAUUACACUGUGAUCAAAACUAUGUAUCUAAAGCAGAACUGUCAGCUACUAUUAUCUAUUCUCACAUCACAUGGGACAUGUUAUUUUAAGUUGAUGUUGCAUUCAAUUAUGCCCUUAUGUCAGCUACAGCAUAAAUCACAUCAUCUAGUUUUCCAAUCUGAUCCAUCAAAUCACUGACAUAACGUCUCAAACAAAUGGUUGUUUUGUGCCUAUAUAAACUCAUUGAAGGCAAAGGAACUAGUCUUUUUAGCAGCAUAUUUUUUACAUAAGUGAACUCUUCCAGGUUGGAAAAUUUCUCAGUGAAAACAUAUUAAAUAAGCAAUACAGAAAUGGCACAGAGAAUGCUUAACAGCAUGAUUUCUGUAGCCCUAGAUUUAAGUUCAGAUCUCAACUUUGCCUCUUCCAGGCUCUGUAAUCUUAGGCAAGUUACUCAAUUUUUUCCAAGCAUUAGUAUCCUCACCUGUAAAAUGAAAGUAACAGAGUAACUGCUCCCCAUUAUUAUGAAGAUUAAACAAGACAAUAUACAUAAAGCAUUCAGCACAGUGGCCAGCACGUAGUAGACAUUUGAAAAAUGGUGAUCAUAGAGACAGGUAAGAGUGUGGUUUUGCAGGCAAUACUGUAGAGUCAUUCUGGCAUAAGGUUCUCCUGGGUACCAUCCAUCAUCGUGACAGUGCUUUGGAAAAGAAAGUCACUGCAAUACAAGCCUGUGAAGGCCACAUAGAAAGUGGUUAGGCUCCGCGUGAUGCUGGGCUACACUGCUGGGUUCCAAACCAGCUCUGCCACUUAUUAACUGUGUGACUUUGGGCAAGGCCCUUUGCCUUGCUGUACCUCGAUUUCCUCAUCUGUUAAGUAAGGAUAAUUGUCCCUAUUUUGCAGAGUUGUCAUAAGCAUGUUGUAUAAAUGCAUUAAGGCAUGAAAUGCUUGGAACUGUUCCUGCUUCAGAGUAAACACCACAUGCGUUAGCUAUUACAAUGAUGAUGAACCAGUAGGUGCAAAUCACUUGAGAUUAUUUCAUCCCACCUAGAAGACAAGGUAGAUGCAGGAGAUAACUCCUGGGCCAGGACCCUGACUCUCCUGCUCUCUCUCUUGCCCCUGGUUUUCCGCUUCUACCGCAGCUUUCUGCAGCCCUUUGCUUUCCUGUCCCUGCUGCUUGCCCUUCUUUUCCCCAUCACCCUGAGUCCUACGCUUUCUCCCAGACUUACAGGGCAUCCAAAUCCCUCAGCCGCUUUCUGAGUCAGUCCUGCUGUGCCAAGUGCUUGUGGGGCUGGUUGUCCUGGAAACGACAUAAACCUCUCAGAAUGAGGCUGGUUUGAGACAUGGCUUGGAGGAGUCCAGGUUAUGCAGAGCAUAUAAUUUUUUCCUCUCUCUCUUUUUUUUCCAGCUAUGAUGAUGAAUAUAUCUAAUUCAGUAUUAAGUAUUCAAGGACCUUCCAAACAUGUUUAUUGCCCAAAAAGAAACUCCCUGAACAGAGAGGAAGGGAGGCUGAGGUUAUUAAACCCAAUCUUGCCCACAAUACAAUUUGUUCAUGCCUCACUCUGGCUCUAGUGAGUUCAUCUGACCUUUCUUUUGCAAGCUGGGUAAGCCUCCCUUUCAGAAUGCUGCCUGGGAUCAGUGAGAUGGUAAGCUUUGCUCUUAGGGAGGGCUGGAUUUGAAUCCUAGGUCAUCCUCUUGCCAGCUGUAUGUCUGUGAGCGAGUCACUUAAUCUCUGUGAGCCUCAGUUUUCUUAUCCAUAAGAUGGCAAUCACCUAGGGUGGUUAGGAUUGAAUGAGGUCAUAUUUGUACAGCAGCUCACUGUUCCAUGGUUGGCUAGAUGUGCUCUUUUUUAAAACAAAAAAGGAAGGAGAAAGACUCUGUGGCAAAGAGACAUGGGUGUUACUUGGAAUAAAAAAGUUGGAAAACGACAGAAUCAUGUAUUUUCCCUCCCCCUCUUAACCACUGUUUUUAUUAAGAGAUCUUAAUCAGGAAGCAAAAGAGGAAAUCUGGAUUAUGAAAUGUCAACAGUUAUCUUACACAGAAGAAAAGCAGAAACAUUUUACACUUCACAUUAUUGACUCUAAGAUUUCUGACCUGACAAAAUUCCUGCACCAGCAUUUUCUAAUGCUGUAUUUUUCCCACCCAAAACAUCUUAUCUGCAAUAAAAUUAUUCCAUAAAACAAGACACAGGACAAAGAUGUUCUCUGUUACUACCCAGGUGUCUUGAACUGCAUAAGAGAAAAAGGUGAAUGGAGAGAGAUUCGUUUUGUUUGUUUGUUUGUUUUAAUGCUUUAACAUCAACAAGCAUAGCCAAGGCUUCUAACAGUCUUUUAAAAGACUUUUAUGGCCCUUCCUUCAUGAUUAAUUUGGCAACCAACCCCGGAACCAGUAUAUACUCCCAUUAACACCUAGGAGAGGCCCCACUAACUACUGAAAUGUAUAUUGAUGCUGAUACGAAUAAUUAGUGUCUUAUGCAGCUAAUGUGACACCAGCUGUGUGUCAGGUUCCUGACAUACACAGUUUUUAACCCAUACAUGAGGUAACUGAAGGAAAUUUGAUGCCUAAAGAAGUUAAGAACUUUAAUACCUUCUUGGGAAAUUCUGUGUUUAGGUUUAGUUCUGCAGCUGACAAAGGGAAUAUUUCUGGACCAAACAUUUCUCAAAAAUCUCAAAUGAGACACUGGGAGCUAUGUGAGAGUGGAGGGUAGGAGGAGGGAGAGGAUCAGAAAAAACAACUAUUGGAUACUAGGCUUAGUACUUGGGUAACAAAAUAAUCUGUACAACAAACGCAUGUCACAGGAGUUUACCUCUGUAAUACACCUGAACAUAUACCCUUGAACCUAAAAUACAAGUUUUAGAAGAAUAAAAAAAUAAAAAGAGAAUCUUAAUGCAUUAUAUCAGGAGUGUUCAAAAGGUCCCAGAGAAAAAUGCAAAAAUUAUGGAAGAUGUAACUUGUAAACAUGAAAAUUAUGGAUAUAUAAAAAAAUUUCACUGUUUAAUUCCAGGUACAUUUUCUAGAUUGGCUUUUAUAAUCUGAGAGAGCUACUCUCAUUAAUUAAAAACCAUUUUUUUUUUUAAAUUUAAAUCCCAGGUGCUUGACAACCCUGACUUUAUCAUCCCCAUUUUUUAGUGAGGCAGCGUCACUUAUUAGAAAUUUAGUCUUGAUAUUUUUGUAAUUUAGGGAGAUUAAAAUAUGAGCAUACAAAUUUCAUAACAGCAAUUUUCAUUGCAAGAUAUUUUUAAUUGUUUAAAAAACAAACAAAAACUUGCAGAAAUGUUUCCAUUCACUUGCUCUUCUCAGGGUACUAGCACAAGUGAUCAGGAAAGGAAUAAGUCAACAUUGAUUAUUACUAGAUCUCACCAAUUAUUGGUGCCUGUUGCAAGGAAUCUUUCAUGCUUCUACGUACCUGUGUGUCUUUUCCAAAUGAUGUUUCAAAGUACAGCUGGCUAGAAAGAUUAGCAGCUGAGGGCCCACUUAUUCUCCAGUACCAACUCAGAACUUUCGCCAUCACAAAUACACUACAAAUCCUAACCGAGAAUAAAUUUGCCUUAAGAAAAUGCUGGAGUAAUGAACAAAGGUCAGUGUCAUGAGUCAGAAACCUAGGCGUCAGAGAAGGAGUUGCUGGUCCCAGCUGUCACACCCGUGUGACUUGGGGCAAUCGCGGAGCCUUCUGGGUCUGUCUCCUCUUCCGCAAAUGAAGGAAUUGGGCCAGAUGAUCUAAGGUCCCCCCAGCCUGAAGUCAAAAUGGAAGCAGGCAGCAAUGUGUGCUCUUUUACCCCCCUUACAGGUAUAACGUUGCAGGCUGGAAAAACGUGAAACCAAUGAAUGGCCUAAAACAAACUCACGUUUGCUGUUCAUUCAAUUUAAAAGCUAGGCAUCUGAAGGAAGCCACUACAUUCAGCUCAGUUCUGAAACAAUCGACUCACUAAGGUUACUGUGAGCAUAUCUGUGUGUACAGAUGUGGCCCGCAGGAUGCCAAGUCCUAUGUGUGAAUUCACAUCCCAGGGAGCUUCCACAACAACACAGCACACACUCAGCAUCUGAAUAAAGACCAACAGUGCUAAGAAAAUUCAAUUUUCCUGAUACCACACCAGGAAGGCUAAGGCUUUUUCAACACACUAAUCUUUAAAAUGGUGCAUCUACCACCUCGCUGUCACAUUAUGCAAAUUUACUAAGAAUUGUGAGUGAAGAGAUUUCAGCCCAAUAAAAAAAAAAAAGAUGAGGUUUUUUUACACAUCAAUUCCAAGAAGAUGGCCCAUAAAAUAAGCUGUAAUUACUGUAUUAUUAUAUCAAUUCUUUAAUCACUUUUUUUCCCUUCCCUCCCAAAACAAAAUAACUGAGGGGAAGGGGGAUUUAAAUAAAAAAAUGAAUAUUCUCUCCACAUAACCUCUAUUGGAGAGGAGUAUUUCUUUUGACAGAACACAUUUGUGUGGCUCUUAAAAAAGACAUUCUAAAUCUGGAGGGAGUUAGCCUAGACUCCACCUUCCAGACCCUGCCAUCUGGAAUUCUCAGACCAUAAAAUCGAACUGUAAGGAAGCCGGGGCUGGAUGAGUAUCUCCACUUUCCUAACCCCAUUCCAACAUUCUAUGUGCUACCACACUCUCCUAUUUCAACCCAAUGGGUGAGCAGGAAACAUUCCUAAGAUGAGCAGGUAGCCCGUGGAGCUGGACCCAAGCCUCCCCAGCCUGUGGCCAGUGACACCCUUCAUGAUCGGAAGGCUUUAAAGAAUCCUCAUUCAGAAACCUCAUAUUAUUUUUGAAUACCUACCAUGUAAAAAGCACCCCCUGCGUUCUGAAUAAUUCAUUUCAAGAAACAUAGUAUUAAGUGCUUAGUAUGUGCCAGGCGCCGGAAUAGGUGUGGGGUAAAAAUGUCUUGCCACCAAGGAACCUCCCGCAUUCGUGAAUCUGCUGAACAGCACGACUGAUGGAUUAGAUGUUGCCGCCUUUACCGCUCUCCCUCCUGCCACGUGUCAUGGCGCCUGCUUAGCGACACCUAGUGUUCAGUAAAGAGAACUGUCUGAAUCAAUGACGCCGGUUAGGACUUCCUCUCAGCAGUUUCAGGAAGUGUUGUUCUGCUGUGUCAGAUCCUCCUCCCAGAUCAGAUCGUUAGAACCUCUUCCAAUAUCUUUCUUAUGUAUAUGUGUCUAGAAUUACUUUUUUUUUUUUUUUUUUGAGACAGAGUCUUGCUCCGUUGCCCAGGCUGGAGCACAGUGGUGCUAUCUCCGCUCACUGCAACCUUUGCCUCCGGGGUUCAAGCGAUCCUCCCACCUCAGCCUCCUGAGUAGCUGGGAUUACACGGACGCGCCAGCACACCCAACUAGUUUUUGCACUUUUAGUAGUUUUACUAUGUUGGCCAGCUGGUCUUGAACUCCUGACCUCAAGUGAUCUGCCUGCCUUGGCCUUCUAAAAGUUCUGAGAUUAUAAGCAUAAGCCAUCGCACUGAGCCUAGAAUGACUUUUUUAAAAAUCUCUUUCUGUACACAUUUGAUCAAUAACCCUGGAAACAUUAUACAUGUAGUACAUUUUAUUGCUGUAAGGGAAAGUUAAGACUUUUGAAUUAGCAAAAAUGAUUACUGAGCAUCUCCAGUGGAAAACCAUCCAUUCUUUACAGCACACCUUUCUCACUUAUUUGUUUCUAUGGAGUUUGUGUCUUUUCUUGUCUUGGAGUUAUUUCAGAACUCUGUAGAUUUUAGAUAAACACAAAUAAUUCUUGUCUAUAAACAUGCAAAUAAAUUCUGACUUAUGGAAGUUCAGUAGACUCCACCUCACCCCACACCCUCACUCCACCCCACCUCCCAUGGAAAAAGCCAAUUUUGUGUCCAUUGGUAAAUUAAGUUCAAAGUUACCUUACUCUAUAUAAAUUGGUCUUUGACCUUUCCUUUGAACCAGUUGUGACCUCUGGCUAGUUUCCCCUCUAAUUCAUGAGUUAAAUAAAAUGUUAACAUGUUUUCAUUCUAUUA